GUUUGAUCCUGGCUCAGAUUGAACGCUGGCGGCAGGCCUAACACAUGCAAGUCGAACGGAACCUUCGGGUUUAGUGGCGAACGGGUGAGUAAUGCCUAGGAAUCUGCCUAUUAGUGGGGGAUAACGAAUCGAAAGGUUCGCUAAUACCGCAUACGUCCUACGGGAGAAAGAGGGGGAUCUUCGGACCUCUUGCUAAUAGAUGAGCCUAGGUCGGAUUAGCUAGUUGGUGAGGUAAAGGCUCACCAAGGCGACGAUCUGUAGCUGGUCUGAGAGGAUGGCCAGCCACACUGGAACUGAGACACGGUCCAGACUCCUACGGGAGGCAGCAGUGGGGAAUAUUGGACAAUGGGCGCAAGCCUGAUCCAGCCAUGCCGCGUGUGUGAAGAAGGCCUCGGGUUGUAAAGCACUUUAAGCGAGGAGGAAGGUCAUCAUACUAAUAUUAUGAUGAAUUGACGUUACUCGCAGAAUAAGCACCGGCUAACUCUGUGCCAGCAGCCGCGGUAA
rnacentral:rRNA from 1 species